rnacentral:rRNA from 1 species
UACGUAGGGUGCGAGCGCUAAUCGGAAUUACUGGGCGUAAAGCGUGCGCAGGCGGUUUUGCAAGCCGGAUGUGAAAUCCCCGGGCUUAACCUGGGAAUGGCAUUUGGGACUGCAAGGCUGGAGUGCGGCAGAGGAGACUGGAAUUCCUGGUGUAGCAGUGAAAUGCGUAGAUAUCAGGAGGAACACCGAUGGCGAAGGCAGGUCUCUGGGCUGACACUGACGCUCAUGCACGAAAGCGUGGGGAGCGAACAGG